GCUUCUGUGGCGCAAUUGGCUAGCGCGUCUGACUGUUAAUCAGGAGGUUGGUGGUUCGAGCCCACCCAGGAGCG